UACAGAGGGUGCGAGCGUUACUCGGAAUUACUGGGCGUAAAGCGCGCGUAGGCGGCUUUGCAAGUCGGGUGUGAAAUCCCCAGGCUUAACCUGGGAACUGCAGUCGAUACUACUUAGCUAGAGUAUGGGAGAGGGCAGUGGAAUUCCCGGUGUAGCGGUGAAAUGCGUAGAUAUCUGGAGGAACACCGGUGGCGAAGGCGGCAUCCUGGACCGGUAUUGACGCUGAGGCGCGAAAGCCAGGGGAGCAAACGGG
rnacentral:rRNA from 1 species